rnacentral:lncRNA from 1 species
GGGAUAACCCAACAACCUCCCCCUCACAAAUCGGUCUCUCGAUAGGCAUUACCCAUCUACCGGCUCUGAACGGAUCACCAUCGGUCCUUCGGACCGGAUCCCGGGAGGUGUUGUCAACCUAGACUCUGAUACCACUAAUGAGAAAUGAGGCAGCAAUAUCAAGCAAGAAUAGAAUGAACGAGACACAACGAUUUUUACGUGGAAAAUUCAAAUCGGGAAAAAUCAAGGGACCGUAGUCCAAGCAACAACUCCACUAUACUUUGGUGGGAUUACAAGUCCUCUCUAGGAUACCUAGAGGAUUACAAAGUACCUCAAGAACAAUCUUCUUGGAUCACCAAUGUAUCAAAACGGAUACUCACCAAUAUGGUGGAUAACAAGUGCAAAUCGACAAGAUGAAGAGAAAAAUUCAGAGACCAAACAAAUUCGUACACCCUCUGUCUAGCAGCGAUUCCCGACAAAUCUGAGAUCAGAACAACGAUCUCGCCGGCCAAAUUGACGCCCAAAUAGUCCUGAACAUGCAUACAAAAUUUCAGAACGAUCCGACGGUGAGUUUCUCCGGGAUGCUCUCUUGAACAGGCUGACCAGCUGAAAAACGAAAACUUUCCAGCAACCUUAUCUUUUCUUCUCCUCUCUUCUUUUUGCUCUUUU